GGGAGGCAGCACUGGGGGAUUUUUUGCACGUGGGGGAAACCGUUCCAGCCAUCCCCCGUGUAUGAUGAAGGCCUUCGGGUUGUAAACUCCUUUUGUCUGGGAGAAAAAAGUGUCCGCUGAUAAUGCACGCUGGUGAUGGUAUCAGCCGAAUAAGAACCGGCUAACUACUACCUGCCAGCCGCGGUAAUACUUCGGGUGCAAGCGUUGUUCGGAAUUACUGGUCGUAAAGCGUGUGUAGGCGGUUCGGAAAGAAAGAUGUGAAAUCCCCCCACUCAUCCUUUCAACUGCUUCUUUAACUGCCGAGCUAGAUUAUUGCGGAAGAGGAUAGAAUUCUUCCCGUAGCAGUGAAAUGCUUAGAUAUGUUGAGGAAUACCCAUGGCGAAGGCGGCCCCCUGGUAUAUUACUGACGCUCAUACACCACGGCGUGUGGAGCAGACAGGAUUAUAUACCCCGGUAGUCCUGCCCUAAACGAUGUCGACUACUGGUGGGGGGUUAUCCACUUCUAGCGCCGCAGCUGCGUGAAAUGACCGCCUGGGGAGUACGAGUCGCACAUUACUACUAAACGGAAUUGACGU
rnacentral:rRNA from 1 species